GCCGGGCGUGGUGGCGCGCACCUGUAGUCCCAGCUAGUCGGGAGGCUGGCGUGGGGGCACCGCUUGAGUCCAGGAGUUCUGGGCUGCAGUGCCCUAUGCCGAUCGGGUAUCCGCACUGAGUUCGGCAUCAAUAUGGUGACCUCCCUGGAGUGGGGGACAGCCAGGAUGCCUAAGGAGGGGUGAACCGGCCCAGGUCGGAAACGGAGCAGGUCAAUCUCAAAAAAUAAUAAAUCUUUUCACUUUUUUAAAUUUAGGACAGGGUGUACAGAGUGUACAGGGUUUUCCUGCGU
rnacentral:SRP_RNA from 1 species